rnacentral:misc_RNA from 1 species
GAUGAAGAACGUAGCGAAAUGCGAUAAGUAAUGUGAAUUGCAGAAUUCAGUGAAUCAUCGAAUCUUUGAACGCACCUUGCACUCCUUGGUAUUCCGAGGAGUAUGCCUGUUUGAGUGUCAUUAAAUUCUCAAACCUUGCUGUCUUUAUUGACUGCGAGGCUUUGGAUGUGGGAGCUGCUGGACUCUAACGAGUUCAGCUCUCCUUAAAUGCAUUAGUGGUUACUGUUUCCUUACCACUAGGUUGUGAUAAUAUCUACGACCUAGCCAGGAAUGUUAAGUGUAGCUGCUUUCUAACCGUCCAUGCAAUGUGGACAACUUGAACCAUUUGACCUCAAAUCAGGUAGGACUACCCGCUGAACUUAAGCAUAUCAAUAAGCGGAGGA